rnacentral:rRNA from 1 species
CCUACGGGCGGCAGCAGUGAGGAAUAUUGGUCAAUGGACGAGAGUCUGAACCAGCCAAGUAGCGUGAAGGAUGACUGCCCUAUGGGUUGUAAACUUCUUUUAUAUGGGAAUAAAAUGUUCCACGUGUGGGAUUUUGUAUGUACCAUAUGAAUAAGGAUCGGCUAACUCCGUGCCAGCAGCCGCGGUAAUACGGAGGAUCCGAGCGUUAUCCGGAUUUAUUGGGUUUAAAGGGAGCGUAGGUGGAUUGUUAAGUCAGUUGUGAAAGUUUGCGGCUCAACCGUAAAAUUGCAGUUGAAACUGGCAGUCUUGAGUACAGUAGAGGUGGGCGGAAUUCGUGGUGUAGCGGUGAAAUGCUUAGAUAUCACGAAGAACUCCGAUUGCGAAGGCAGUUCACUGGACUGCAACUGACAUUGAGGCUCGAAAGUGUGGGUAUCAAACAGGAUUAGAUACCCCAGUAGUC